GAUGAACGCUGGCGGCGUGCCUAAUACAUGCCAGUCGAGCGAACGGACGAGAAGCUUGCUUCUCUGAUGUUAGCGGCGGACGGGUGAGUAACACGUGGAUAACCUACCUAUAAGACUGGGAUAACUUCGGGAAACCGGAGCUAAUACCGGAUGAUAUUUUGAACCGCAUGGUUCAAAAGUGAAAGACGGUCUUGCUGUCACUUAUAGAUGGAUCCGCGCUGCAUGAGCUAGUUGGUAAGGUAAUGGCUUACCAAGGCAACGAUGCGUAGCCGACCUGAGGGGGUGAUCGGCCACACUGGAACUGAGACAGGGUCCAGACUCAUACGGGAGGGAGCAGUAGGGAAUCUUGAGCAAUGGGCGAAAGCCUGACGGAGCAACGCCGCGUGAGUGAUGAAGGUCUUCGGAUCGUAAAACUCUGUUAUUAGGGAAGAACAUAUGUGUAAGUAACUGUGCACAUCUUGACGGUACCUAAUCAGAAAGCCACGGCUAACUACGUG
rnacentral:rRNA from 1 species